UUUCCGGUUGAUCCUGCCGGACCCGACUGCUAUCAGAGUGAGAUUAAGCCAUGCGAGUUAACGUAGCAAUACGUGGCGCACGGCUCAGUAACACGUAGUCAACAUGCCCAGAGGACGUGGAUAACCUCGGGAAACUGAGUCUAAACCGCGAUAAGUGAGGAUUUCUGGAAUGGUUCCUGACUAAAAUCUAUAUGGCCUCUGGAUUGGACUGCGGCCGAUCAGGCUGUUGGUGAGGUAAUGGCCCACCGAACCUGUAACCGGUACGGGCUCUGAGAGGAGGAGCCCGGAGAUGGGCACUGAGACAAGGGCCCAGGCCCUAUGGGGCGCAGCAGGCGCGAAACCUCUGCAAUAGGCGAAAGCCUGACAGGGUUACUCUGAGUGACUUUCGCUAAGAAAGUCUUUUGGCACCUCUAAAAAGGGUGCAGAAUAAGGGGUGGGCAAGUCUGGUGUCGGCCGCCGCGGUAAUACCAGCACCCCGAGUGGUCGGGACGAUUAUUGGGCCUAAAGCAUCCGUAGCCGGUUCUGCAAGUCCCCCGUUAAAUCCAGCUGCUCAACAGAUGGGCCGCGGAGGAUACUACAGAGCUAGGAGGCAGGAGAGGCAAGCGGUACUCAGUGGGUAGGGGUAAAAUCCGUUGAUCCAUUGAAGACCACCAGUGGCGAAGGCGGCUUGCCAGAAUGCGCUCGACGGUGAGGGAUGAAAGCGGGGGGAGCAAACCGGAUUAGAUACCCGGGUAGUCCCAGCCGUAAACGAUGCAGACUCGGUGAUGGGUUGGCUUCGCGCUAACCCAGUGCCGCAGGGAAGCCGUUAAGUCUGCCGCCUGGGUAGUACGGUCGCAAGACUGAAACUUAAAGGAAUUGGCGGGA
rnacentral:rRNA from 1 species